ACGGAGGGUGCAAGCGUUGUCCGGAUUUAUUGGGUUUAAAGGGUGCGUAGGCGGAUUAUUAAGUCAGUGGUGAAAGUCUUCAGCUUAACUGAAGAAGUGCCAUUGAUACUGGUAGUCUUGAGUACAGUAGAGGUAGGCGGAAUUUAUGGUGUAGCGGUGAAAUGCAUAGAUACCAUAAAGAACACCGAUAGCGUAGGCAGCUUACUAUACUGUAACUGACGCUGAGGCACGAAAGCGUGGGGAGCGAACAGG
rnacentral:rRNA from 1 species